UACGUAGGGCGCAAGCGUUGUUCGGAAUUACUGGGCGUAAAGGGCUCGUAGGUGGCCAACUAAGUCAGACGUGAAAUCCCUCGGCUUAACCGGGGAACUGCAUCUGAUACUGGAUGGCUUGAGUUUGGGAGAGGGACGCGGAAUUCCAGGUGUAGCGGUGAAAUGCGUAGAUAUCUGGAGGAACACCGGUGGCGAAGGCGGCAUCCUGGACCAACACUGACGCUGAGGAGCGAAAGCCAGGGGAGCAAACGGG
rnacentral:rRNA from 1 species